rnacentral:tRNA from 1 species
GGGGGUAUAGCUCGGUGUGUAAAGCGAAUUGUAAUGCGUUGCACAGUGAGAUGAGAGUCUGGUGACCUCCU